CAAGAUUAGUCUUUGCACAAAAUUAAUUUGACAAACAGAGAAAAAUAGGGUAAAGAGUUCAUUCUGCAAAGCAAAUGGAUUGUGAGUCAAAUAUGAGGCCUCUGGCAUUUCUUAUUAAAAUCCGAAUAAAAAAAAAAGAAAGAAAAAAAACAAAUGAACAAUCCCUUUGGCUACAUACACCAGAUAAUUAAUUAAGUUCUAUACAUGAACAAUUGAAAACACAAGCCCUUCAUGCAGAAACAAAACACAAACACAGCUGCCCUUCACAUCUCUACCACCUGUCCAUUGAAAAAAGACAACAAAAAGGAAGCUCAUCAGUUGUUAGUGCAGGUCACGUCAUGUGGUCCAAUGAAAAGGCAUGUAUGUUUGCUUAAUUAUGCAGUUUCAUUUCUGUUUCUUACUUUUCCUUCAAGCAAAAGUAAAAGAAAUAUAUAUAAAAAAAUUGCUUACAGAAAUUGUUGAAGGAUCACUUGGUGAGGAUGUAGAUGGCAUAGAUAAUACCAGGGAGAUAACCAAAAAUAGUCAAAAUCAAACAGAUCCAAAAUUCCGCCUGAAAAAUCAUAAAUCCGCCCCGAACAUAAGCAUAUAUUUACAACUUAUUGACGUCAUAUUUAUAAGAACCAUGAAUAAAAACUACAUCAAAAUUCUGUCUAUAAAACACACACAAAUAUGUUAUGUAAAAAAAAUACUGACUUCGCAGCCAAACUUGAGGAAGACACCAAGAGGAGGCAAGAGGAUGGCUAUGAUGAUGUCAACGAAAGUUGCUGUGCCCAUUCUAAUGGAGUUUUGUUUUGUUUUGUUUUUCUGGUUCUUCUGAGAAAAAAUUUAGAGGAACUUUGAGAAAAAAUCCAACUGCUUUGUGUUGUUUGACAGGAACUGGGGAGCGUAGAGUGUGGUUUUAUAUAGAGUUUGC
rnacentral:lncRNA from 1 species